rnacentral:rRNA from 1 species
AUACGGAGGGUGCAAGCGUUACUCGGAAUCACUGGGCGUAAAGCGCGCGCAGGCGGUCUUUUAAGUUGGAUGGUAAAGCCUACGGCUCAACCGUAGAACUGCAUCCAAAACUAUUAGACUAGAGUGUGGGAGAGGAAGAUGGAAUUAGUUGUGUAGGGGUAAAAUCCGUAGAGAUAACUAGGAAUACCAAAAGCGAAGGCAAUCUUCUGGAACACUACUGACGCUGAGGCGCGAAAGCGUGGGGAGCAAACAGGAUUAGAUACCCUUGUAGUCC